rnacentral:rRNA from 1 species
UAUGAAGAGAGCAGCCAGCUGCGAUAAUUAAUGUGAAUUGCAGGACACACUGAACAUCGACAUCUUGAACGCAUAUUGCGGCCUCGGCUCAAUGCCGAAGCCCCGCCUGUCCGAGGGUAGGCUAACAAUACUCGCCUGCUAACUGCUGGACCACGUGUCGAGCAGAGGCGACUUGGCGCUCCGAGCGAGCUCGUCUCGCCCGUUCGCUUGAAUUUUACGCUCUCCCAGCGGGUCAACUGAUUCAGUGGCGCAGGGACUGGGCCCGAUCGGAUCUAGUCCAGCGAUCAAGCUGAAGACCUGGCUGUCUGCUGCCGUCCCUCUCCUACUCGUUAGGCCAGAGGUAGAUGGUCGUCGACUCGCGCGGCUGGCUACUAGCAGCCCUCUCUACAGGGAGGGCGGCAGGUGGCCGGGGAGUCACCGUCUUCACUGACGGUUUGCGCAGUCGACGCUUAGGGCAAGGAGCGGGCUCUCGCACGUUCGAAAGGACGGCAGGGCACCUCGAAACUAAACUAACCUACCUCGGAUCAGACGAGACUACCCGCCGAAUUUAAGCAUAUCAGUAAGCGGAGGAAAAGAAACUA